UAACACAUGCAAGUCGAGGGGCAGCAUGGUCUUAGCUUGCUAAGGCCGAUGGCGACCGGCGCACGGGUGAGUAACGCGUAUCCAACCUGCCUUACACUCUUGGACAGCCUUCUGAAAGGGAGAUUAAUACAAGAUGUUAUCAUGAGUAAGCAUUUUCGCAUGAUUAAAGGUUUACCGGUGUAAGAUGGGGAUGCGUUCCAUUAGAUAGUAGGCGGGGUAACGGCCCACCUAGUCUUCGAUGGAUAGGGGUUCUGAGAGGAAGGUCCCCCACAUUGGAACUGAGACACGGUCCAAACUCCUACGGGAGGCAGCAGUGAGGAAUAUUGGUCAAUGGACGAGAGUCUGAACCAGCCAAGUAGCGUGAAGGAUGAAGGUUCUAUGGAUUGUAAACUUCUUUUAUACGGGAAUAAACGAAUCCACGUGUGGAUUUUUGCAUGUACCGUAUGAAUAAGGAUCGGCUAACUCCGUGCCAGCAGCCGCGGUAAUACGGAGGAUCCGAGCGUUAUCCGGAUUUAUUGGGUUUAAAGGGAGCGUAGAUGGGUUGUUAAGUCAGUUGUGAAAGUUUGCGGCUCAACCGUAAAAUUGCAAUUGAUACUGGCAGUCUUGAGUACAGUUGAGGUAGGCGGAAUUCGUGGUGUAGCGGUGAAAUGCUUAGAUAUCACGAAGAACUCCGAUUGCGAAGGCAGCUUACUAACCUGUAACUGACAUUGAUGCUCGAAAGUGUGGGUAUCAAACAGGAUUAGAUACCCUGGUAGUCCACACGGUAAACGAUGAAUACUCGCUGUAGGCGAUAUACAGUCUGCGGCCAAGCGAAAGCAUUAAGUAUUCUACCUGGGGAGUACGCCGGCAACGGUGAAACUCAAAGGAAUUGACGGGGGCCCGCACAAGCGGAGGAACAUGUGGUUUAAUUCGAUGAUACGCGAGGAACCUUACCCGGGCUUAAAUUGCAACCGAAUAUGGCGGAAACGCUAUAGCUAGCAAUAGCGGUUGUGAAGGUGCUGCAUGGUUGUCGUCAGCUCGUGCCGUGAGGUGUCGGCUUAAGUGCCAUAACGAGCGCAACCCUUGCCGAUAGUUACUAACAGGUCAUGCUGAGGACUCUGUCGGGACUGCCAUCGUAAGAUGUGAGGAAGGUGGGGAUGACGUCAAAUCAGCACGGCCCUUACGUCCGGGGCUACACACGUGUUACAAUGGGGGGUACAGAGGGCUGCUACCACGCAAGUGGAUGCCAAUCCCAAAAACCUCUCUCAGUUCGGAUUGAAGUCUGCAACCCGACUUCAUGAAGCUGGAUUCGCUAGUAAUCGCGCAUCAGCCACGGCGCGGUGAAUACGUUCCCGGGCCUUGUACACACCGCCCGUCAAGCCAUGGGAGCCGGGGGUACCUGAAGUGCGUAACCGCAAGGAGCGCCCUAGGGUAAAACUGGUGACUGGGGCUAAA
rnacentral:rRNA from 1 species